rnacentral:rRNA from 1 species
GGGAAUAUUGCACAAUGGGCGCAAGCCUGAUGCAGCCAUGCCGCGUGUAGGAAGAAGGCCUUCGGGUUGUAAAGUACUUUCAGCGGGGAGGAAGGCGAUAAGGUUAAUAACCUUGUCGAUAGACGUUACCCGCAGAAGAAGCACCGGCUAACUCCGGGCUAGCAGCCGCGGUAAUACGGAGGGUGCAAGCGUUAAUCGGAAUUACUGGGCGUAAAGCGAACGCAGGCGGUCUGUCAAGUCGGAUGUGAAAUCCCCGGGCUCAACCUGGGAUCUGCAUUCGAAACUGGCAGGCUAGAGUCUUGUAGAGGGGGGUAGAAUUCCAGGUGUAGCGGUGAAAUGCGUAGAGAUCUGGAGGAAUACCGGUGGCGAAGGCGGCCCCCUGGACAAAGACUGACGCUCAGGUGCGAAAGCGUGGGGAGCA